rnacentral:misc_RNA from 1 species
UUAAGUUCAGCGGGUCUUCCUACCUGAUCCGAGGUCAACCUUGGGUAAAUAAGGCUUUUAACGGCCGGAACCCGCAGCACGCCCUGAGCGAGAUGUAUUACUACGCGUAGAGCCGACAGGCACCGCCACUGAUUUUAGGGGCCGCGGAACCGCGAGCCCCAAUACCAAGCGAGAGCUUGAGUGGUUAUAAUGACGCUCGA